rnacentral:rRNA from 1 species
GACGAACGCUGGCGGCGUGCCUAAUACAUGCAAGUCGAGCGAAUCAAUAGGAGCUUGCUCCUGUUGGUUAGCGGCGGACGGGUGAGUAACACGUGGGCAACCUGCCUGUAAGACUGGGAUAACACCGGGAAACCGGUGCUAAUACCGGAUAAUCCUUUUCCUCUCAUGAGGAAAAGCUGAAAGUCGGUUUCGGCUGACACUUACAGAUGGGCCCGCGGCGCAUUAGCUAGUUGGUGAGGUAACGGCUCACCAAGGCGACGAUGCGUAGCCGACCUGAGAGGGUGAUCGGCCUCACUGGGACUGAGACACGGCCCAGACUCCUACGGGAGGCAGCAGUAGGGAAUCUUCCACAAUGGACGAAAGUCUGAUGGAGCAACGCCGCGUGAGCGAUGAAGGCCUUCGGGUCGUAAAGCUCUGUUGUUAGGGAAGAACAAGUAUCGGAGUAACUGCCGGUACCUUGACGGUACCUAACCAGAAAGCCACGGCUAACUACGUGCCAGCAGCCGCAGUAACAC